rnacentral:rRNA from 1 species
GAUGAACGCUGGCGGCGUGCUUAACACAUGCAAGUCGAACGAAGCACUCUAUUUGAUUUUCUUCGGAAAUGAAGAUUUUGUGACUGAGUGGCGGACGGGUGAGUAACGCGUGGGUAACCUGCCUCAUACAGGGGGAUAACAGUUGGAAACGACUGCUAAUACCGCAUAAGCGCACAGGAUCGCAUGAUCUGGUGUGAAAAACUCCGGUGGUAUGAGAUGGACCCGCGUCUGAUUAGCCAGUUGGCAGGGUAACGGCCUACCAAAGCGACGAUCAGUAGCCGACCUGAGAGGGUGACCGGCCACAUUGGGACUGAGACACGGCCCAAACUCCUACGGGAGGCAGCAGUGGGGAAUAUUGCACAAUGGGGGAAACCCUGAUGCAGCGACGCCGCGUGAGCGAAGAAGUAUUUCGGUAUGUAAAGCUCUAUCAGCAGGGAAGAAGAAUGACGGUACCUGACUAAGAAGCACCGGCUAA